UACAGAGGUCUCGAGCGUUAGGCGGAAUCACUGGGCUUAAAGCGUGUGUAGGCGGAUUGCUAAGUACCUUGUGAAAUCCCACGGCUUAACCGUGGAACUGCUUGGUAUACUGGCUGUCUUGAGCCACUUAGGGGCGACCGGAACAAACGGUGGAGCGGUGAAAUGCGUAGAUAUCGUGUGGAACGCCAAAGGUGAAAACAGGUCGCUGGGAGUGUGCUGACGCUGAGACACGAAAGCGUGGGGAGCAAACAGG
rnacentral:rRNA from 1 species